CGUCUGCAGCAGCCCAAGGGGUCGUCCUCCGUCCGGGAAGAUGUCCUGCUACGGGGACUCAGGCUGCUUUUGACCCCAGUCGGUACCUGGGUACGUGGUACGAGUACGAGCGCUUCGACAACUGGUUCGAGGCGGGCAUGGACUGUGUGAGAGCCGAGUACGGCCUGAACCCUGACCAGACCAUCAGUGUUCUCAACGCCGGCACCAGGAGCUUUAAGCUGUUCGGACGUACUAUCUUCAGCCGGCCGGCCUCCAUCAACGGUGACGCUACCACACCGGACCCUGCUUCCCCCGCCCAGCUCAAAGUGUCCUUCUC